UACGUAGGGGGCAAGCGUUGUCCGGAAUCAUUGGGCGUAAAGAGCGUGUAGGCGGCCAGAAAAGUCCGCUGUGAAAACUCGAGGCUCAACUUCGAGCUGUCGGUGGAAACUUUCUGGCUAGAGUCCGGAAGAGGAGAAUGGAAUUCCGUGGUGUAGCGGUGAAAUGCGCAGAUAUCAGGAAGAACACCCGUGGCGAAGGCGGUUCUCUGGGACGGUACUGACGCUGAGACGCGAAAGCGUGGGAGCAAACAGG
rnacentral:rRNA from 1 species